GACGAACGCUGGCGGCGUGCUUAACACAUGCAAGUCGAACGGAAAGGCCCCUUUCGGGGGGUACUCGAGUGGCGAACGGGUGAGUAACACGUGGGUGAUCUGCCCUGCACUUCGGGAUAAGCUUGGGAAACUGGGUCUAAUACCGGAUAGGACCACAUGUCGCAUGGUGUGUGGUGGAAAGCUUUUGCGGUGUGGGAUGGGCCCGCGGCCUAUCAGCUUGUUGGUGGGGUGAUGGCCUACCAAGGCGACGACGGGUAGCCGGCCUGAGAGGGUGUCCGGCCACACUGGGACUGAGAUACGGCCCAGACUCCUACGGGAGGCAGCAGUGGGGAAUAUUGCACAAUGGGCGCAAGCCUGAUGCAGCGACGCCGCGUGGGGGAUGACGGCCUUCGGGUUGUAAACCUCUUUCACCAUCGACGAAGCUGCGGGUUUUCUCGUGGUGACGGUAGGUGGAGAAGAAGCACCGGCCAACUACGUGCCAGCAGCCGCGGUAAUACGUAGGGUGCGAGCGUUGUCCGGAAUUACUGGGCGUAAAGAGCUCGUAGGUGGUUUGUCGCGUUGUUCGUGGAAUGCCACAGCUUAACUGUGGGCGUGCGGGCGAUACGGGCAGACUGGAGUACUGCAGGGGAGACUGGAAUUCCUGGUGUAGCGGUGGAAUGCGCAGAUAUCAGGAGGAACACCGGUGGCGAAGGCGGGUCUCUGGGCAGUAACUGACGCUGAGGAGCGAAAGCGUGGGGAGCGAACAGGAUUAGAUACCCUGGUAGUCCACGCCGUAAACGGUGGGUACUAGGUGUGGGUUCUUUCCUAAGGAUCCGUGCCGUAGCUAACGCAUUAAGUACCCCGCCUGGGGAGUACGGCCGCAAGGCUAAAACUCAAAGGAAUUGACGGGGGCCCGCACAAGCGGCGGAGCAUGUGGAUUAAUUCGAUGCAACGCGAAGAACCUUACCUGGGUUUGACAUGCACAGGACGCGUCUAGAGAUAGGCGUUCCCUUGUGGCCUGUGUGCAGGUGGUGCAUGGCUGUCGUCAGCUCGUGUCGUGAGAUGUUGGGUUAAGUCCCGCAACGAGCGCAACCCUUGUCUCAUGUUGCCAGCGCGUGAUGGCGGGGACUCGUGAGAGACUGCCGGGGUCAACUCGGAGGAAGGUGGGGAUGACGUCAAGUCAUCAUGCCCCUUAUGUCCAGGGCUUCACACAUGCUACAAUGGCCGGUACAAAGGGCUGCGAUGCCGUGAGGUUAAGCGAAUCCUUGUAAGGCCGGUCUCAGUUCGGAUCGGGGUCUGCAACUCGACCCCGUGAAGUCGGAGUCGCUAGUAAUCGCAGAUCAGCAACGCUGCGGUGAAUACGUUCCCGGGCCUUGUACACACCGCCCGUCACGUCAUGAAAGUCGGUAACACCCGAAGCCGGUGGCCUAACCCGUUUGGGAGGGAGCCGUCGAAGGUGGGAUCGGCGAUUGGGACGAAGUCGUAACAAGGUAGCC
rnacentral:rRNA from 1 species